CUCAGCUUCUGAGGUACUUUAAACUGAGUUCCCAACAUCAUGUCUCUUCACCCACCCCGAUAUACUUCAGCACACAUAUCCUCAAAAUAAGAAAAUUAUUUUAUAAACUACAAACCAUUGUUUAUACCUAAGAAAAUGAAAAAUUCCUUAAUAUUAAUAUUCAAAAAUUCCUCCAGCUGCCCCCAAAAUAUCUUUUAUCCUUGAUUUUUUAAACCACCUUUCAAUUUUUUCAUGACAUUAACAUUUUGAAAAAUAAUCCCAGUCUCUUGAGUUGAUAUUCUCAUACACCAUUUAACUAGUUCCUCUUUCUGUCUUCUUCUAAUCAGAGGGUGUGUCUAAAGGCUUGAUUGGAUUCGGGGUAGUGUCAUAUUAGGAGUUAUGUACCAGGUUGUUACAUCUUACUGAUGCUAAAUUUGCUUACAUGGUUGGUAGAGUAGUUGCCAAAUCUCUCCAUUGUGAAGGUAUGUCUUUCCCUUUGAGCUUUUUUUAGAGUGUGUUUUGAUUUCAAGGUGUGAUAUGUGCAUGUGGCACAUUGCAACAGUACAGUGAAAGCUGUGACUCUGAGAUCCCAUCUUCCACCUGCAUGAUUCUUCCCAGAGGCUGCCAUAGUUACCAGGUUAUGUAUCUUUAAAGAGAUUGUGAUGCAAAAUGUGUAAUUUACUGUGGAUAAAAUAAGUUUUCUGGGUAUAAAUUAAGUGGAGAAGACGUAUAGAACUAGGUGUCUUCUGAGGGUUAUUCAAGAGAAUUCUGUAGAAGUCUCUCUUUUUUUUUUUUUUUUUCCCUGUGGUACUGAGGAUUGAACCCAGGGCUCUGGCAUGCAAGGCAAGUUCUCAACCAUUGAGCUAUGCCCCCAUCCCUUCUGAUGUUUUUAUUUUGAGAUGGGUCUCACUAAGUGACCAAGGAUAGCCUUAAAUUCAGGAGUCUCCUGUCUCAGCCUCCCAAGUAUCUGGGAUUACAAGUGUGUGCCACCAUGUCCAACUUUUGUAGAAGUCUUUUGAAAUACAAGAUUUAGGCAAAUCUACUUCACAAAAGAUUCAGACAAAAAGUCUCUUUCCAUCCACUAGCUGACUUCAUUUAUGCAGUUGAAUCAUGCCUCAUUUCUUAGAUUCAAACUUUCUAGUUUUCUUCCCACCAAAAAGGAUGGAUCAUUUUAUUUCUCAUACUCUCUCCUAAAAUUAUGCUGGCCAGACGUGGCAAAGUCUGUUUCUAGGCCCGUUCACAGGCUGCUUUCUCAGUGUUUCAUUCUCAAGACCCUCUCAGUAUGGCAUCUCCUCACGUAAUAUGUCUGUUUAUUUCAGAUUCACACAUUGAGUUGAGAAACCUUGCAAGCUUUCUGCAUCAAAUUCCAAAAUGAAAUCUUUUCAGCCCAGACCCUUCAAGUCACAUCUGGAAACCAGUUGAAGCUUUUCUGGGUCACUUUCCACUGAGUGGAAGUGGCGCCUAUUUUGGUUUAAUUGCAUUUGUGCUGGGCCUCUAGCUGUCUCAGGGUUUCCACUGCCCUGAAACCUUAGGCCAGAAAAGCUUCCAGAACACUGGUACUUCUUUUCCUUCCCAUGAAAACUCUCUGCUUGUUGAAGACCUCUGUCUGGCCAGACGUGGUCUAGUAGAGGGAUCUGGUGAUGAGGUGCCCCACUCAUGGAUGACCUUGGGAAGAUGGCCCACCACUGCACCUAGUGUCCUUCCUCAGUUGUACAUAUUCAUCCUAAGGUUGAAAGAUGAGACUUCUAUUUUAUUUUUCUUCCUGAUACUGGGGAUUAAAUUCAGGCAUGCUCUACCACUGAGAUACAUCCCAGCCCUUUUUAUUUUUUAUUUUGAGACAGGAUCUAGUUAAGGUUCUGAGGCUAUCCUCAAACUUAUGAUCCUCUUGUCCCGAGUUAUAUUUCUGUUGGCAGCCUGAGACAGAAGACUCUGAAGCUUGAGGUCAACGUGGACAACUUUAAGAUGUUGUCUUAAAAUAUAAAAUAAAAAAGACUGGGGAGGUAGCUCAGUGGUGUACACCCCUGGGUCCAAUCCCUAGUACCAAAAACAAACAAAUGAAUAAAUAAGACCAAAUAAAAAUCAAAUUAUUCCCAGACAUACCCUGAAAAAUAAGUGUGCCUCUUGCCACUGUUUUCUGAUUCCUCUCUCCAGAGACAACUUCAGUGUUAUAGUUUCUUACGUAUCCUUCUGAAUUAUGCUUUUAUAAUUAUGUGUGUUUGGGUUUUCCUCGCUUUUUCUUUUUCUUUUUUACUGAAUGAUAGCAAACGUUACAUACUGUGCUGUUUCUUAUUUUUCUCACUAAACAAUAUAUUUUGGAGAUGACUGCAUAAAGCAGAAUCCCUCCUCUAUCUCUGUCUCUGAGUCCCUGCGUAUGUGUGUAUACAUGUAUAGGUAAGAAUAACCAUCUAUUGGACCAGUUCCCUAAUGCUGUGCAUGAAGAUGGUCUCCAAUCUUUUAUUAGUUCAAAUAAGGUUGCAAUAAAUAUCCACAUGUGCAUUUCCAGAAUAAGCUCCCAGAAACAGAACUGCUGCAUCAAAAAAAAAUAGUGUAUUUUAAUGUUCAUAAUCUGCAAGCUUUCCUCAGGGCUGAAUGACCAUCUUGUUUCAUUACAAGUGACAUACUACACAGAGCAACUAACAACCACUUCAACAUCAUGUUCUUUUAACCUGAGGCUAUUUUGACCUUUUCCCUCAAAUGACUUUACAACAGUGAGCUCAGUUCCCCAGGCUUGCUGGCUCAGAAGUCUGUGGAGUGGCAGCAUGUCCUUUCUGUGAACAGCUGUCUCCCCAACAUUGCCACAUUAGUGAGACCCCAUCUGGAAUGAUCUCAUUCUGGAAACUUCACAACCCCAAAGCCUCCUGUUGAAAGUAAGCAUCUGAUUAGUUGGGUCUUGGCCAUCAGCUGUUUGGAAUGAUUCAAAAAAAAAUUUUUUUGACACAUUUGUGCCAAGAUUAGGAAAUGGAAAAGGCUGAAAAAAGGCAAAAGGAGAGUAGCCACAUUUUAACAAUGGGUGUAAGUCAAAAAACCACGAACUCUCUUCCUCUGGGCUCUGUGACUAAUGUCACUGAAGGUCUCUAGACCCUUUCUUUACCUGUGAAAUGAGGACGUGGGCCAAAUCAUUUCUCAGGACCUUUCUUCCUCUGAGGUUCUAAAGAUUCAGAUGCAGCCUAGGCCAGCAGUGCUUGUCCUCCCAAAGUCACCAAUUUCAAAAGUCAAGAGGUGUCACAAAUCUCAGUGCAUUCAGAUGGCUAUCCAAAGGAUGGUACAACCAAGAGGGGACUUAGACAGUGAUGUGCUGGCAGAUAGGCUGGGGCCAGUGUACAGGGUAGGGAGCCCUGACUUGUAAUGUUUGCUAAUUUCUGUGAUGCACUUGCCCGCACUGUGAUGAUUUCUAAAUACCAAUAUGACAUGAUUAAACUCAGAGAUGGGAAGAGAUGCGCAGAAUUGUGUGGGGAUCCUGCAAACAACCAGUGAAGAAUUCAAAAAGCAUUCUCUUCUCCUGUGUUGAGAGGAUUUCAUGAAAGAGGAGAGAUUUGAAUGAGGAAAAAUACUGUGCAGGGUCUCUUUCCACCACAACCAACAGAAACAAUUCAAAGGAGCUUAAAGAAAGGGGAAACUAUGAGAAUGUGGUUUUCAGCACAAGGAACUGAAUAAAGGACUUUAACAACAUAG
rnacentral:lncRNA from 1 species